AUUGAACGCUGGCGGCAGGCCUAACACAUGCAAGUCGAGCGGAGCGGCGGACGGGUGAGUAAUUACUGGGAAUCUGACUGGUAGUGGGGGCGAACGUACGGCAACGGGAGCUCAUACCGCAUACUAUCAGAUGAGCCUAGGUCGGAUUAGCUAGUUGGUGGGGUAAAGGCCUACCAAGGCGACGAGCCGUACCUGGUCUGAGAGGAGGAUCAGUCACACUGGAACUGAGACACGGUCCAGACUCCGACGGGAGGCAGCAGUGGGGAAUAUUGGACAAGGGGCGAAAGCCUGAUCCAGCCAUGCCGCGUGUGUGAAGAAGGUCUUCGGAUUGUAAAGCACUUUAAGUUGGGAGGCGUUACCAACAGAAUAAGCACCGGCUAACUUCGUGCCAGCAGCCGCGGUAAUAC
rnacentral:rRNA from 1 species